AUCCCGCACCGGUCCCAGACGAGUGGCUUGCCGUUCCAGGCCACGGAGGACGCCUUUCCUGGCCUGCCGUCAAGGCCACCGAGCAAAGCAGAGUGGGCCACGAGACCCAGCCCCUGGAAACUUAGGCCCAUCGCAAGAGAAAUCCAGCUGGAGACACUAAACGUUGUCAACAUCCACCCCUCAUACGCCGCCGCCGCCGUCCUCGCAGGCCGCUUCGGAAGGAACUAGUCACGCCGGGCUGCGGGGGUGGUGUCCGCAUCGCCGGGGCCCAUGGAAGCGACCCCUCCGCACUCAAAGCCGCCUCGGAGCGAAAACAGUUAAUGUCCCAUGCAGGGGCCUUUUACUUCUGCACUCCUGAGCCAUCGCUGUGUUUCCUUUUCGCCACGGGACUCCCUGCCCGG